UGGGGGAUAUUGCACAAUGGGCGAAAGCCUGAUGCAUCGACGCCGCGUGGGGGAUGAAGGCCUUCGGGUUGUAAACUUCUUUUGCUCUGAACAAGGCAUGCUAAUGGGUGUGUUGAGUGUAGGGGUUGAUUAGCGCCGGCUAACUACGUGCCAGCAGCCGCGGUAAUACGUAGGGCGCGAGCGUUUUCCGGAAUUAUUGGGCGUAAAGGGCUUGUAGGUGGCUGGUUGCGUCUGUCGUGAAAGCUCAUGGCUUAACUGUGGGUUUGCGGUGGGUACGGGCUGGCUUGAGUGCAGUAGGGGAGGCUGGAAUUCCUGGUGUAGCGGUGGAAUGCGCAGAUAUCAGGAGGAAUACCGGUGGCGAAGGCGGGUCUCUGGGCUGUUACUGACACUGAGGAGCGAAAGCAUGGGGAGCGAACAGG
rnacentral:rRNA from 1 species